UGUUGUUGCUGCUGCUGCUGCUGCUGCUGAAACUGUUGCGGGAAUUGCUGCUGUUGCAAUUGUUGCGGGAAAAGGGGACUGCUUUGUUGAAAGGGCUGUGGCUGAGACCGAAACAGUGACUGUGGUUGCUGUUGUGGAGUUAAAAACGGAGAAAACGACAUUUGUGAUUAUGAAUCUAUGAUUCAAACUUCUUGUUAUAGUUUUUGCCUUGACAUUUGGUGUAUUUCGGUGUUCGUAUG
rnacentral:misc_RNA from 1 species